GUUUGAUCCUGGCUGAGGAUGAACGCUGGCGGCGUGCUUAACACAUGCAAGUCGAACGAUGAUCUCCAGCUUGCUGGGGGGAUUAGUGGCGAACGGGUGAGUAACACGUGAGUAACCUGCCCUUGACUCUGGGAUAAGCCUGGGAAACUGGGUCUAAUACCGGAUAUGACCAUCUGGCGCAUGUCAUGGUGGUGGAAAGCUUUUUUGUGGUUUUGGAUGGACUCGCGGCCUAUCAGCUUGUUGGUGGGGUAAUGGCCUACCAAGGCGACGACGGGUAGCCGGCCUGAGAGGGUGACCGGCCACACUGGGACUGAGACACGGCCCAGACUCCUACGGGAGGCAGCAGUGGGGAAUAUUGCACAAUGGGCGCAAGCCUGAUGCAGCGACGCCGCGUGAGGGAUGACGGCCUUCGGGUUGUAAACCUCUUUCAGUAGGGAAGAAGCGUAAGUGACGGUACCUGCAGAAGAAGCGCCGGCUAACUACGUGCCAGCAGCCGCGGUAAUACGUAGGGCGCAAGCGUUAUCCGGAAUUAUUGGGCGUAAAGAGCUCGUAGGCGGUUUGUCGCGUCUGCUGUGAAAGACCGGGGCUCAACUCCGGUUCUGCAGUGGGUACGGGCAGACUAGAGUGCAGUAGGGGAGACUGG
rnacentral:rRNA from 1 species